rnacentral:lncRNA from 1 species
UGUGUGCCGGGCGACGCUCAGGGCGGCUGUGUGAGCAUCCGUGUCAGUGAAACUAUUCCUGCACAAGAGAACUGUGACUGGAUUCUGCCAGGGAGGAGCUGUGACCAGCAGGGCAGAGACAUGGGAGGGAAGAGCCGGCGUCACCUCCAGGCCUCCUGCGCCCGAGAGGAGGGAAGAGCCGGUGUCACCUCCAGGCCUCCUGCACCCGAGGGGAGGAAGAGCCGGCGUCACUGGCCACAGAUGAUGGGGAAGCCGGGCAUCACGGAGAGCUGAGAAGACUCGCUUGUUCACACUUACUCGAAAGCAGAAGAGGCCUGGGAACUUCAGCUGGCGACUCUGGUGUUUCUGACUUUGGCUAUCAGCAAACACUGCUGGAGGCUCUGCCCCGUCCACACCCAGCUUCUGUGAGCACGGAGGAGGCAUAAUCUGCAAAGUCUGACACAGGCCAUGCCUAACCAUCCUUGACUGGCUACCUCCAGUGACAUAAAACUGAGAAGCAAAGACACCCAGGAGGCAAGGCUGCAGUCAUUUAGGAGAGUGGACGGAUGCCAGGGCUGUGCUGCCUGCAGCCUUUGUGGGGCUCAGUGACCAGAGGAGCAGCCCAUGCCAAGCCUAGUCCCCAGGGAUGCUGCCUGCGGUGCUCACGCAUCUUAUACAGGGACACAGAGGAACUCUGGGCUCCACCCUGCAGCCUCUGCUCCAGCACGCGGUGGUCCCAGGAGAUGUAGAACCAGCCCUUCCUCUGCAGUUGCACUGGUGAGAAGGUGGCUGUCUGCAAGCCAGGAAGAGGGCCCUCACCAGAACCCAACUCAGCUGGUACCGUCUGCAGCUUCCAAACUCCAGAACUGUGAGAAAUAAAUGUGUGUUGUUAUUAAAUCGUCUUGGUGUUUUGCUAGAGAAGCCCUAGCUAAGGCACCUUCCGUUCUCCCACCUCUUCCUCCUGGGGCAAGGCCUGGGUGAGGCCCCAUAAGCCAGCGAGUGGCUUCAAGCUGGUGGCACAGCCAGUUUCAAGCCGUCUCUGGGGUACGUGGCACACACAAGAGCCGGGCUGUGUAACCUGCAGCCCACGGCUCCACAGAGGGGCUGUGCCGCCCGGGGACACUUUCUCUGCAGGUCUCUGGCUUCAACCCUCCUUGCCGCUUGUGUGCCGGGAUGCACUUUUGGGGCAGCUGGCAGCCUUUUAGCCUCAGCUCCUCUGUGGGGACAGAGCCAAGACUGAUCGCAAGGCCAAGACCUAGGAGUCCAGGGGAGGCCCUCGGCUCUGUCCUUCCUGCCGGCCCGGCUCCUGCUCAUUCCACUAACAGGCAUCUCCCUGAUGAAAUCCUCGAGAGGUUAGUCCUGUCUCGGCGGCAGCUGCUCAGAGCACCGGGCU